UACGUAGGGCGCAAGCGUUAUCCGGAAUUAUUGGGCGUAAAGAGCUCGUAGGCGGUCUGUCGCGUCUGCUGUGAAAACUCAGGGCUUAACCCUGAGCUUGCAGUGGGUACGGGCAGACUAGAGUGCGGUAGGGGAGACUGGAAUUCCGUGGUGUAGCGGUGAAAUGCGCAGAUAUCAGGAGGAACACCGGUGGGCGAAGGCGGGUCUCUGGGCCGUAACUGACGCUGGAGAAG
rnacentral:rRNA from 1 species